rnacentral:tRNA from 1 species
AUUUAAAUAGUUUAUUAUUAAAAUUUUGAUUUGUGGUGUCAAAGAUAUGAAGUUUUUCAUUUUAAAUU